rnacentral:lncRNA from 1 species
GCAUUUUCCUGAUGUCAUAGUGGCUCCAUAUUGGAGGGGGUGGCAAAUGGCAACAUAGCGGUCAUAGGACAUGACAGUGAGAAAGGCCAGUUCAGCAGAUGCAAAAGCAAAGAAAAAGUAGACUUGAGCCACACAGCCAAGAUAAGAGAUGGAGCUGCUGUGGGUCAGAGAGCUGUGGACUGACUUAGGCACGGUGACUGAGAUGUAGCACAAAUCCAAAAAGGAGAGGUUCCUUAGGAAGAAGUACAUGGGCGUGUGCAGAUACUGAUCAAGAGUAAUGAGCAUGAUGAUGAGAAGGUUCCCCACCAGAGCUGCCAGAUAAAUCAGCAGAAACAGUCCAGCAAGUAGCAUCUGUAGCUCCCAGACAUCAGAAAACCCCAUGAGCAGGAAUUCUGUCACUUCCACGAGAUUGUCCAUUGGAAGGUGAAACUAAGACAAAGCAAGGUCAAGUAGCUUGCCCAAGACCACUCAAAAAGCCAGAUCCUGCGCCAGCACUCAAAUCAAGGUAGUCCAUCUCCGGGAUCAGUGUCGCUAACCUCUGCAUUCUACUAAUCUACUUUAAUGGAAACAGCUGCAUGGUGCUGUGGAGCUUCAGUCUUACUCACGUAGCUGGGAUCAUCUGGGCAAGUGAAAUGUUGCUGCCAUCCUGCAGUCCAUUCUAUGUCCAAACCUCCAAAUCAAAUUUCUUUGGAGUAUCUUUUAAAAGAGAAAUUGUUUAAGGUCAAAAUGGAAAUUGAAAAUAGUGGGGUGGACAGAAGAGAGGAGGAGAAUCAUGUUGUCUGAGUAAAGCCAGACACAGCCACGGAAUAUUGAAAAGCAGCGAAUAAUAAAGGAAAAAGUCUUGGAGUUGAAGAUAAACUGAGAGGACUAAGAAAUAAGGAAGAGAAAAAUGAGGCAAGAGGGGGUUGACUGAAUGCAGAUUGGGCUCACUGAGCCCAAGUGUCUGCCCUGAGUGUGCUGCAUUCUGCCAAUGGAUGUCACAUUCCCACCUCCAAAUGCAGAC